rnacentral:lncRNA from 1 species
UCCUGGUAUCUAUGAUGAGUUUAUUUACAAACAUUCUAUACACGAAAUAUGUUUAUUCAAAAUGUUUUUGUACCUGAGAAACAGACGUAACCAUGACAUGUAACAUUGAAAAAUAAACCAUGAAUAUAAUGUCAAAGCCAGACGAACCAGGUCCCUGCCAGACCAAUAUGUCAAAUAUGCCAUCAAUCAAAAAUGGUUGUUUUGAUAGUAUGACGUCCAUUAUCACUGAUGACGUCCAUUAUCACUGAAGGGGCCAGCUGUAGCACUCCUCCGUGUGCGGGAUUAUCGCGCUGUGUUGAAGACGCAUUAGUUGUUUGGUCAGGUUGUUGUCUCUUUGACACAUUCACCAUUUCCAUUCUCGCUUUAGUUUACCUAUUGCUUCUCGUAUCAGAUAAAAGAACAAAACCCAUGAAAGCUUAACAUUGACCAAUGAGUCAUGAAAACGAGGUUAAGGUCUGAUAAAAGCUACCAGACAGUACAUGGUAAUUGGAUAAAUAAAAUUGAGAAAGGAAAUGGUGAAUAUGUCAAAGCGACAACCACCCGACCAUAGAGCAAACAACAGCCGAAGGCAACCAAUGGGUCUUCAAUGUAGCGAGAAUUCCCGCACCCGUAGGUGUCCUUCAGCUGGCCCCUAAAAUAUGCAUAAUAG